rnacentral:rRNA from 1 species
UGGGGAAUUUUGCACAAUGGGGGAAACCCUGAUGCAGCGACGCCGCGUGAUUUAGAAGGCCUUCGGGUUGUAAAAAUCUUUUCUAUGGGAAGAAAAUGACAGUACCAUAGGAAUAAGGACCGGCUAAUUACGUGCCAGCAGCCGCGGUAAUACGUAAGGUCCGAGCGUUGUCCGGAAUCAUUGGGCGUAAAGGGUACGUAGGCGGGUAAGCAAGUUAGAAGUGAAAUCCUAUAGCUCAACUAUAGUAAGCUUUUAAAACUGCUCAUCUUGAGGUAUGGAAGGGAAAGUGGAAUUCCUAGUGUAGCGGUGAAAUGCGCAGAUAUUAGGAGGGAUGCCGGUGGCGAAGGCGAGUUUCUGGCCAUAACCUGACGCUGAGGUACGAAAGCGUGGGUAGCAAACAGG